rnacentral:rRNA from 1 species
CCUACGGGUGGCUGCAGUGAGGAAUAUUGGUCAAUGGGCGCGACCCUGAACCAGCCAAGUAGCGUGAAGGAUGACUGCCCUACGGGUUGUAAACUUCUUUUAUAAAGGAAUAAAGUGAGGCACGUGUUCCUUUUUGUAUGUACUUUAUGAAUAAGGAUCGGCUAACUCCAGGCCCGCAGCCGCGGUCAUACGGAGGAUCCGAGCUUUAUCCGGAUUUCUUGGGUGUAAAGGGAGCGUAGAUGGCUUGUUAAGUCAGUAGUGAAAGUUUGCGGCUCAACCGGAAAAUUGCAAUUGAUACUGGCAGUCUUGAGUACAGUUGAGGUAGGCGGAAUGCGUGGUGUAGCGGUGAAAUGCUUAGAUAUCACGAAGAACUCCGAUUGCGAAGGCAGCUUACUAAACUGCCACUGACAUUGAUGCUCGAAAGUGUGGGUAUCAAACAGGAUUAGAUACCCUUGUAGUC